AUCUCUGAAUCCGAAUGGCUACGAACGUAAAUUCGAAAUUCGUAGAGAGCCUUCAUUGAAUCCUUUCCUAAUGAAGAUUCGUACAGAUACAAAGCACAGG